CAAAAUGACGUCAUUAAACGUCAAAAUUACGUCAUUAAACGUCCAAAUAACGUCAAUUUGACAUUUGAUGACGUCAGUCUGCUACCUGCUUAUGCUUAUAUACAUUUUUUGCUUAAAAUGUACAAUCAUGUCCUAGAAUACUACCCAUUCCUGCUGAAACACCCUGUUCAGAAUUUGUCAAAAAUUUCACGACUUUAUUAUUGUGCAAAAUCAGUAUUCGCGAAUAUUGUGCGGCCCUGGCGGAAAGUACGUUGACCUACGCGCUACACCGCCUAUCGACGCCUGCGUAGUCCUCUCCCUCUCAUUCGCUCCUUCGUCCUCCGCCCUCUCUCUUUUGGCGUUUCUCCCUCGUCGUUCCCCCUUCCUUACACCCCGAUUCCUCUUUCUUUCUGCCCAUCGCCGUUGCCGCUCACCUCUCUCUCUCGUCGUCUUCUCUUUCAUUCUCUUGCAUUCGCGCUCUAGUGACUUUAUUACAUUGCGAGAACAUUUGCUUGCCAUCUGGAGGCGAGGGAAGGAAGGGGGGAAGGAGAAAAAUGUUAAAAUUUGUCAUCGAAUUUCAUAUUUUUCUUCAUAUUUCUCUACCUCUUUUUCUUUCGCGAAUGACGUCACUUGUCAAAAAUCAUCAUAAACAUGAGCAAUGAAAUUCCUUAAAAAAAAAAAAAAGCAAAAUUCGCGUUCCGUGAAAUUCGCCGAAAUUCACCAAGGACCAUGCAAUUCGUGACUAACGUCAAUGUCAACACGGUCAUUGCGGAUAUCCGGAUGCAGUUCUCUGGUGACGCAUCGGGCAACCAUGGGGGGACCGACGUUACAUCGAUCAAUAAUUGGGAAAGCGUGUAACAAUAUCGGGGGAAAAAGCGAACGGGAAAAUCGGCGACAUUGAUUGCUGUCCAAGGUUAUUUAUGGUAGAGACCGGCUACAUACACUGAUGAAGCAGAACUGUGAUAGACUGUGAAUGACAUGAGAUAGUGCAUAUCGAUGUUCGUUAUAAUGAUAAUUAUGUAUGACACGAUAAUUAAAUCGAUGUGGAAUAAUUAAAUAA